CAGUAGCCGCGGUAAUACGAGGGGGGCAAGCGUUGUUCGGAAUUAUUGGGCGUAAAGGGAGCGUAGGCGGACAUUUAAGUCAGGGGUGAAAUCCCAGAGCUCAACUCUGGAACUGCCUUUGAUACUGGGUGUCUUGAGUGUGAUAGAGGUAUGUGGAACUCCGAGUGUAGAGGUGAAAUUCGUAGAUAUUCGGAAGAACACCAGUGGCGAAGGCGACAUACUGGAUCAUUACUGACGCUGAGGCUCGAAAGCGUGGGGAGCAAACAGGAUUAGAGACCCCAGUAGUCCCUGUCUCUUAUAC
rnacentral:rRNA from 1 species